rnacentral:rRNA from 1 species
GUCUAGACUGCAGUCGAACGGGGGGAGCAUCCCCUAGUGGCGAACGGGUGAGUAACACGUAGCUACCUGCCUUCCGGUGGGGGACAACAGUUCGAAAGGACUGCUAAUACCGCAUACGUUCUGCGGAAGAAAGCCUUCGGGCGCCGGAAGAGGGGGCUGCGGCCUAUUAGCUUGUUGGUGGGGUAACGGCCCACCAAGGCGAUGAUGGGUAGCUGAUCUGAGAGGAUGAUCAGCCACACUGGGACUGAGAUACGGCCCAGACUCCUACGGGAGGCAGCAGUUAAGAAUCUUGCGCAAUGGGCGAAAGCCUGACGCAGCGACGCCGCGUGGAGGAUGACGGCCUUCGGGUUGUAAACUCCUUUUCGGAGGGAAGAUGAUGACGGUACCUCCGGAAUAAGCCCCGGCCAAUUACGUGCCAGCAGCCGCGGUAAUACGUAAGGGGCAAGCGUUGUCCGGAAUCACUGGGCGUAAAGCGCGCGUAGGCGGUUUGGUAAGUCGGGUGUGAAAUCCCCGGGCUCAACCCGGGAACUGCGCCCGAAACUGCCUCACUGGAGGGACGGAGAGGUGCACGGAAUUCCCGGUGUACGGGUGAAAUCCAUACAGAUCG